UACGGGGGGAGCAAGCGUUGUUCGGAAUUACUGGGCGUAAAGGGCUCGUAGGCGGCCAACUAAGUCGGAUGUGAAAUCCCCAGGCUUAACCUGGGAACUGCAUCCGAUACUGGAUGGCUUGAAUUCGGGAGAGGGAUGCAGAAUUCCAGGUGUAGCGGUGAAAUGCGUAGAUAUCUGGAGGAAUACCGGUGGCGAAGGCGAGGUGCUGGACCCUUUCUGACGCUGAUGCGCGAAAGCCAGGGGAGCAAACGGG
rnacentral:rRNA from 1 species